UCCUGCCUCAGUUGAGAUAUUCUACAAACAAAGACUUAUUUAAAUAUAUCGCACGGAAAGCGAUCACAUAUUUCUUAGCGUUAUUUCAAUCGUUACCAUGGUUGCCAUGGCAUAGUUGUUUGCCAAAGCAGCGGUAGUAGCACUGCUGAAAGACGGGGCGCACGUUAAAUGUAUUAGUGGUACAGUCACAAGGUCUACCAGAAGAUUCCUACCGUCCAAUGUUACCGUUUACAUCGUGCCACAUCGCCUUUAUGCCAUAUUACAUCUAUUUGAGCUUUGCCCCAUCCUCGCUCCAGGCAGUUGUGAUCAUCUUCAAGUAGUUACAAUUCUCAUUAUUAUAAACGUAUUUGCUUGAUCAGAGAUCCCUGUUGAUCGAAUAACUGCAUCAUAUUCGAAUGAUCAGACUAUGAAGGCAGAUAUUUAUGUUAAGGUACGCUCGAUGAAAAUAGGUCUAAUCGAGUGUCAUAUAUGAUUUCACGUUUGGUGCUGACACAUUUUGCCGUCCCGUUACGUCACCGUCAAAUCUCGAUGGGUUUGCUUGCUCGUUUUCAGAUAUAGUUGAAGUACUGACAAAAAGAAUCGGGCAAACACGUCUGCCUUCAGACCGUCGAACUUCUCAUAAACGGAUGUUCGAUUCCCGCGAACAGGUCACUGUGUGAGGCCCACAGAAGCUAUCGAGACAAGUGCCCAUGGGGCAAAAGGCACAUGGGAAUGGUGACGGAUCAAAAAAACUUUAAUUAUACCUUCAGUAUCACAUACCGUAACGUGCCCUUCUAACAUGAGAGAACCAUUAGCAAGUGGAUGGAGACGUCACGAAGGCUGUUGCUCUCAGGAAGUGAAAUAUCGGUAAGCCUGAAUAGCACACCAACGUAGUGUGAUGCACGGGACCUAGAUAUUACACCGGCUUCCCGUAACCAUCGGGGUGGACUACGCCAUUCGACGAUCAUUUGACACGGAAAAGCGCCUAAAGACCGAAAGAAACAGUUUCCGGGUGUCGCACUUAGCUACCAUCGGCGACUCCUGCGUCUCAAUGACGAAAAACACAAUAAAAACGAAGAAAAAAAAGUACUUUUUUUACCCAUGAAAUUUGUCAAUGAAAGUCUAUUUACCUUGGAUGCUCUUGUGUUCGUUGACUUCUUCGGCGAUUCUGGGCCACUAAUUUUCUUUUAAUUUUAUGCCGAACGUGACCGCCUGUGUGAAAAGGUCAGUUCUAUGUGACACAUUUGGUGCCACCGGAAGGGACUGAUCUAGACAGUUUUUUUUAAGGGUUUUUUUGGGUUCUAGCCAUCCAGUGUUUAAGUCGUUGGGUACGGUUCGUUCCCAGUACGAUACGAAGUGUGUAGGUCCUGAUUCGAACCCAAA